GCCUUCGUGGUGUAGUGGUCAGCACGCUCGGCGCGUAACCGAGAGGUCCGUGGUUCGAUUCUCGGCGAAGGCG
rnacentral:tRNA from 1 species